UGGGGAAUAUUGGACAAUGGGGGCAACCCUGAUCCAGCAAUGCCGCGUGUGUGAAGAAGGCCUUCGGGUUGUAAAGCACUUUAGGUUGGGAGGAAGGUGAGUAGUUUAAGAGAUGAUUCACUUGACUGUACCGACAGAAUAAGCACCGGCUAACUCUGUGCCAGCAGCCGCGGUAAUACAGAGGGUGCAAGCGUUAAUCGGAGUUACUGGGCGUAAAGGGCGCGUAGGUGGUUGAUUAAGUUGGAUGUGAAAUCCCUGGGCUUAACCUAGGAACUGCAUCCAAUACUGAUUGACUAGAGUAUUGUAGAGGGUAGUGGAAUUUCCGGUGUAGCGGUGAAAUGCGUAGAGAUCGGAAGGAACACCAGUGGCGAAGGCGGCUACCUGGACAAAUACUGACACUGAGGCGCGAGAGCGUGGGGAGCAAACAGGAUUAGAUACCCGUGUAGUCC
rnacentral:rRNA from 1 species